rnacentral:misc_RNA from 1 species
UACGUAGGGGACGAGCGUUGUCCGGAGUUACUGGGCGUAAAGCGCCCGCAGGCGGUCUGCCGCGUUCACUCUCACAGCUGCCGGCUCAACUGGCAGAGUGGGGUGAAGACGGGCAGACUACGAGGACCAGAGAGGGACAUGGAACUCCGGGUGGAGUGGUGAAAUGCGUAGAGAUCCGGAAGAACACCAAAGGCGAAGGCAGUGUCCUGGCUGGUACCUGACGCUGGGGGGCGAAAGCCAGGGGAGCGAACGGG